rnacentral:rRNA from 1 species
CCUACGGAUGGCAGCAGUGGGGAAUAUUGGACAAUGGGGGGAACCCUGAUCCAGCCAUGCCGCGUGUGUGAAGAAGGCCCUCGGGUUGUAAAGCACUUUCAGUGAGGAAGAACGCCUGGUGGUUAAUACAUCAGGAAAGACAUCACUCACAGAAGAAGCACCGGCUAACUCCGUGCCAGCAGCCGCGGUAAUACGGAGGGUGCGAGCGUUAAUCGGAAUUACUGGGCGUAAAGCGCGCGUAGGUGGCUUGAUAAGCCGGUUGUGAAAGCCCCGGGCUCAACCUGGGAACGGCAUCCGGAACUGUCAAGCUAGAGUGCAGGAGAGGAAGGUAGAAUUCCCGGUGUAGCGGUGAAAUGCGUAGAGAUCGGGAGGAAUACCAGUGGCGAAGGCGGCCUUCUGGACUGACACUGACACUGAGGUGCGAAAGCGUGGGUAGCAAACAGGAUUAGAUACCCUAGUAGUC